UCAGAUGUUUCAGUUUGGAGUGAGGUGAUGUCUUUUGAAGGCUGCUUCAGUUUCAGUGAAAGCAGAUGAUUAAGGGAAAUAAAAACAUAACAAGUUUUGCAGGGUGGGAUGGUGGCAUUUCAAAGUGAGUUUGAAUUUUAAUUUCAGGGUGUGAAACCCUAUGCUGCACCUUGAUGUUUUUCUACAAUUUCAAAUCUAUAGUUCAUCAAUCUC
rnacentral:lncRNA from 1 species